UGACUGCGGGCAGACAUGAUCUGGCUCAGAAGUGGAAAAGCUUUAGGAGGGAUGGAGCCCCAAACCAGAGAUAUACAACGAGGGAGAUCUUGACAGGAGGUGAACAUCAGUUGAGCAAAGGAGCUUCAUUAGAAGAAAAAGCUGUUAUAUGUAGGCAUGAGAAAACAGGCAUUACCAAGUCCUGGAAGCUCACCCCAGCCACACUUGAAUGGAACAUUCUGUAAAGAGGCCGAGGAAGAGCGAGAAAACUAUUUCUGCCACAACCGAGGAGAGAACAUUUCAAUUCAAAGCAGGUAACUGAUCUCAGGAACAUUGGAACAAAGUUGUGUUCUGGCAGAAACCUCUGACUCUGAGACUUGGAAGUCUCCACUUCGAAGAGAAGAUGUCAACCCAGGAUGGCAUUAACUCUACUUGGAGGUUGCUGUGUGCUGCCUGAUGCUGAGAGUUGUCCCCUGAGACCCGGACUGACUCGGAACCCUGCUUUCUCUUUAUCUCUGAUGGAGCUUCCUGAACAGGCCUGCCACUGAAGAGGAAUAAGUGUGGAGUGCCCAGGCCUUACCAUAGAAGCACCCUUCCUCCCCUUCCCAUGUGCUAUGAAGUUUUAAAGAAGUAAAACAGAAACUGAAGUACGAUUCACCAUGUUGUACUCUUCCUAACACUUCUCCUCAAACAUGUUGUUCACUUUUAAACACUUAUACAAGACCACAUGGCCAUGAGUAUACAUUUAUAAAUGUAUAAUUUAUAUUUGCAUAUAUAAUGUGUAAUAUAUAAAAUUUGUAUGUGUUAUAGAAAUAUAUAUUUGUAUAUAUUAUAUAAUAAAUAUUAUAUAUUGUAAUUUGUAUAUAACAUAAUGUAUAUUACAUACAUGUAUAAUAAUAUAUAUGCUAUUUCUUUCUAGAGAUGCAUAAUGAUGCCAAGAAAAACUCUGUUUUAUUUUAAUGAAAAUAAUAGAGAAUAAAAUGGUAUUCUUGGGUGC